CCUUCUCCUUUUAUUUCCAAAAAAUUUCCUACACUUAUAUGGCCCAAUCGUUCAUGCCACAAUCGAUACUCAGCACUAUUUGGGAUUCUAGACAAUCCAGUAAAAACCAAUACACCGUUUUUCGAAACUCUUAUGCCUUCAGGGUUGAACUCUAUGGUCAUCCCAGCAUCCUGCAUCUUUUUGACCGAGAGCAGAUUGUGAGGAAUAUCCUUACAAUACAGUACGUUUUGUAGGGUGAUUUGGUUUCCAGAGCUGCCACAUUCGAUUGCAAACGCUCAUAGUCGGAGAAUAAAGCUGCGUCAUUUAUGAGAUGAUCCGAUGCUCCUGAGUCUAGGAUAAACUCAACCUCAUCCGUGCUCGGGCGUGAUGUUGCAUUUGUCAUCAUAAAAGCGAAACUACGCUCCGGCUGUGCUACC